rnacentral:snRNA from 1 species
UGAAUAGUCCUCUCAGAUUGCCC